GGAGGAGUCAAUGCAAAACCUUCAGUGUGUUCCACUUCUACUUAUGUGUUUGCAGAGACGAUGCAGAGAACAGUGGACACACAGUUUAACAUGAUGGAUGUCAGUAAAGGACUGCUGCUGUUAACUAUCUGCUGGGCAGGUGUUGAUGGUCAGACUCUGACAGAAUCUGAACCAGUGGUUAAAAGGCCUCGAGAAUCCCACACACUGACCUGUACAGCCUCUGGUUUGGACUUUAAUAGCUAUUGGAUGGCCUGGAUCAGACAGGCUCCUGCAAAAGGACUGGAGUGGGUUGCGAUCAUUGAAGGUGACAGUGAUAGAAUCUAUUACUCCCAGUCCGUCCAAGGCAGGUUCACCACCUCCAGAGACAACAGCAGAAAGCAGGUGUAUCUACAGAUGAACAGUCUGAAGACCGAGGACACAGCAGUGUAUUACUGUGCCCGAAGAGACACU